UACGGAGGGUGCAAGCGUUAUCCGGAUUCACUGGGUUUAAAGGGUGCGUAGGAGGGCAGGUAAGUCAGUGGUGAAAUCUCCAAGCUUAACUUGGAAACUGCCGUUGAUACUAUCUGUCUUGAAUACCGUGGAGGUGAGCGGAAUAUGUCAUGUAGCGGUGAAAUGCUUAGAUAUGACAUAGAACACCCAUUGCGAAGGCAGCUCGCUACACGAAUAUUGACUCUGAGGCACGAAAGCGUGGGGAUCAAACAGG
rnacentral:rRNA from 1 species